rnacentral:rRNA from 1 species
AAUUUUGGACAAUGGGGGCAACCCUGAUCCAGCCAUCCCGCGUGUGCGAUGAAGGCCUUCGGGUUGUAAAGCACUUUUGGCAGGGAAGAAAAGGCACGGGCUAAUAUCCUGUGUCGCUGACGGUACCUGCAGAAUAAGCACCGGCUAACUACGUGCCAGCAGCCGCGGUAAUACGUAGGGUGCAAGCGUUAAUCGGAAUUACUGGGCGUAAAGGGUGCGUCGGCGGUUUGGCAAGAAAGGUGUGAAAUCCCAGAGCUUAACUUUGGAACUGCACUUUUAACUGCCAGGCUAGAGUAUGUCAGAGGGGGGUAGAAUUCCGCGUGUAGCAGUGAAAUGCGUAGAGAUGCGGAGGAAUACCGAUGGCGAAGGCAGCCCCCUGGGAUAAUACUGACGCUCAUGCACGAAAGCGUGGGGAGCAAACA